rnacentral:rRNA from 1 species
AACGAACGCUGGCGGCAGGCUUAACACAUGCAAGUCGAGCGCCCCGCAAGGGGAGCGGCAGACGGGUGAGUAACACGUGGGAAUCUACCCAUCCCUACGGAACAACUCCGGGAAACUGGAGCUAAUACCGUAUACGCCCUUUGGGGGAAAGAUUUAUCGGGGAUGGAUGAGCCCGCGUCGGAUUAGUUAGUUGGUGGGGUAAAGGCCUACCAAGGCGACGAUCCGUAGCUGGUCUGAGAGGAUGAUCAGCCACACUGGGACUGAGACACGGCCCAGACUCCUACGGGAGGCAGCAGUGGGGAAUAUUGGACAAUGGGCGCAAGCCUGAUCCGGCCAUGCCGCGUGAGUGAUGAAGGCCUUAGGGUUGUAAAGCUCUUUCGCCAGGGACGAUAAUGACGGUACCUGGAUAAGAAGCCCCGGCUAACUUCGUGCCAGCCGCCGCCGUAAUAC